UGGCGCGAGACCGUGCGCGCGAGUUUGAGGAGGUCCACGGGCACCACGGCCCCGGGACAGCGCUUCUCCAGGAACUCUUGGAAGCCCUGGACGCCCAUGCUUCGUCGGUGGGCAGACGAGACGGCGGCUGCGCGAGCAGGGGUGAAGCCUCUUCCUUCCACCUCCGGGAGCCAUGUUGCUUCGUCUUCUCUAUGCACCCCUUUUCUACCACCUUCUCUACCUUAUCCUCAUGGUUGCAGCAGGAGCCAUCCUUUAUGUACCUUCACAGAGAAUUUGGGAUUGAGCUGGAGAAGAGAUGAAAAAUCCUGGCUGCAUUCAAGCACCUGAUUUAUUUGUUCCUAAGGUCCAUCUGCAUUAUCCCUGGGUUUUGUGAGACACCACCAUCUUUAUAAUAAAUUCCUCUUUUUGUUUAA